rnacentral:lncRNA from 1 species
GUACAAAUAAAUACAUACAACUGUACAUAUAAAUACAUAUGAUUGUACAUAUAAAUACAUAUGAUUGUACAUAUAAAUACAUACGAAUUAUUAUUUAAACAAUAUUAUGUAUAUUUUGAUUUGAUAUUAUAAAAAACAAAAAAAAAAAAAAAAAAAUGAGAAAAGUAUGGACCCCUAUAAGAAGACCAGAAGAUCAAAAAGUUAUAAAAAAUAACUACAAUGAAGAAGAAAAAGCAAAUUUUGAAAAAUCCCUACCAAUGGGUUUCAUAGAAAACAAUAGAAACAAAAGGAUACCUUAUUUUGAAAUAAAAGAAUCUACAAUGGUAGAACAAAAAGAAAGGAAAGAAGCACAAAAAAUCUUAGCUUUAGAGUUAAGAGAUAAGUGCAGAGCCGAGAUUGACGAAUAUGUUGAGUGUACCGUAGGGCGACUGUGGACAUUUUUAAGAUGCAAAGAUUUUAUGAUAAAAAUGAGAAAAUGCUUAAAGCAAUAUGAAAACCUUGAAUAUGUAAAAUUUAGGGAGAAUCAAAUUAUUGAAGAAAGAAAGAAAAAUGGAACGAGUCUGUAUAGAUCGGAUGAAAGGGCUAGAUAUAACCGAUUUAUGUACACGUAAUAAUAAAAUAAUAACAUAUCAAUGUAAUGAUUAUAUU